AACAAUUAUACCAAGGAUGUUUCAAUAGAUAAACCAUCUUACAUCAUAUAAUUAUAUUACUACACCAUAAAAACCAAUUAUACCAAGCAUGUUUCAAUAGAUAUACCAUAAAAAAUCGUAGUACUAUCUCACUAAACAAUAAAAACCAAUUAUACCAAGCAUGUUCCAAUAGAUAGACCAUCUAACAUCAUAGUACUAUCUUACUACACAAUAAAAAGUAAUUAUACCAAGCAGGUUUUAAUAGAUAGACCAUCUAACAUCAUAGUACUAUCUUACUACACCAUAAAAACCAAUUAUACCAAGGAUGUUUCAAUAGAUAGCCCAUCUUACAUUAUAGUACUAUCUUACUACACAAUAAAAACCAAUUAUACCAAGGAUGUUUCAAUAGAUAAACCAUCUAACAUCAUAUAAUUAUAUUACUACACCAUAAAAACCA
rnacentral:lncRNA from 1 species